rnacentral:rRNA from 1 species
GACGAACGCUGGCGGCGUGCUUAACACAUGCAAGUCGAACGGAAAGGCCCUGCUUGCAGGGUACUCGAGUGGCGAACGGGUGAGUAACACGUGGGUGAUCUGCCCUGCACUUCGGGAUAAGCUUGGGAAACUGGGUCUAAUACCGGAUAGGAGCCAUCUUUAGUGUGGUGGUUGGAAAGUUUUUUCGGUGUAGGAUGAGCUCGCGGCCUAUCAGCUUGUUGGUGGGGUAAUGGCCUACCAAGGCGGCGACGGGUAGCCGGCCUGAGAGGGUGUACGGCCACAUUGGGACUGGGAUACGGCCCAGACUCCUACGGGAGGCAGAAGUGGGGAAUAUUGCACAAUGGGCGCAAGCCUGAUGCAGCGACGCCGCGUGGGGGAUGAAGGCCUUCGGGUUGUAAACUCCUUUCGCUAGGGACGAAGCGUUUUUGUGACGGUACCUAGAUAAGAAGCACCGGCUAACUACGUG